GGGAACGGGAUAGUUGCUUUCUUCAUUGAAUAAUCUAAAUAAUUAAUACGAAGUGGUGUUUUGUGGUUAAUGAUCGCAUUAAGUUAGUCGGAAGACAUUCGCGAGUGUUAUUAUAUUGGAGUAUUCAAUAAACAAAGUGUAUCUGCCUAUUUUCGCUUCGUGUCAGGAAGCCGCUUCAUAACUCAAAAGUUUAUGCGGACUUUUGAGUUAAUUCGUUUGGGGUUCGGAGUAGGAGUCUACUCCGAGGGUGGGGGCUUAGGUUUCAUCAUCAUCACCUUUCAUCAUUUCAUUAAUCAUCAAGAAAAAAAAUACGUCAGACAUGGCUGUAUGGGCAUAGUUCCCUUUGCCUUACCCUUCGGGGAAAACCAAACCAAAAAAAAAAAAUGGAAAGUGGGGACGUCGCGAGAGCGCCGGAGACUCCACUGCCGUAACAAUAAUGUGGGCAAAUUAAAAGCCACGAUUUAUCGGCGACAUCAAGAGCCGAUGUCUCAAUUUAAAUAAACAACUUAACCGAGAUGCAACAUCACUGAAAUCCCAUCGCCGAAGGUCCAGUGGGUGGGUUUAGGUUUCAUCCGAGCGAUGCCCAACUAUCCCGGAUGAACCUAUGGGGUUUUUGUUCCCUUUAAGUUUUUAACAUUUUAACGUUUUGCAAGUUUUUAACGUCUAACGUUUUGCUAGUUUAAAGUAAGAAGAAAUUUAUGAUUGGAUCAGAUGAUUUCAACAAUGUUUUGUGAAUGAAGAUUCCUACUGUUUUCUUCUGCGUUUGCAAGUUAUUUCAAGCUUCAUUACGGCGGAGCUAGCACAUGGUAUGUUGCAGAGAGAUACUUUACCUAACGGCCCACUUGUUCUUUAUUGAAUUAUCUUUCAUUGGAAUUAUUUUUAAAAGACGUUUCAGUGGCGCCCUUCUUGGUGAAAUUGUCGCUUUGUACAACCAUUUUAGUAUAUAAGUGGUGUUGGCAUAAAUUUUAAAAUAAAAUUUAGUGAAAACAGUGUAUUUCUUUUUAAUUAUAAAAGUGAUGGGAUUUUGUGUGAAUUGUUUGUGUUAAUGUUUGCAUCUUAGGUUAAGUUGUGUUUGUCUUAGUAUAAGUAAGGUUAUAGGCCUCCUACAGAGACCUAACUUAAAUACUUAUUUUAUUGCAAUAAGUUUAACCCAAUUCUAGGGCUUAUUGUCAAAUUUUAAAACUACAUUUGUGUUUUCUUUUCAUUUUAUUUAACCAUUUAGUAUGAAUUACAGGUUAAAAACAAUUAUUAACAUAAUUUGAUGCUAGCUAGCAAAUAAUUUUUUAUCAGUAUUGAGUUUUUUUUUGUUACA